UGUUUAACAAAAACAUCACUAAGAGGACUUCACUCUUAGCAGUGCCUGCCCAGUGCAAAAUUGUAAAUGGCCGCCCUAGCGUGAGGGUGCGAAGGUAGCGAAAUUCCUUGCCUUUUAAUUGUAGGCCAGCAUGAAUGGAUUGACGAGGGCCAGUCUGUCUCUUGCCUUGUAUGACGAAAUUGGGUUAGAGGUGAAGAUACCUCUAUAAAAAAGCUAGACAAGAAGACCCCGUGCAGCUUUUAAAAAUUUGUUUACUAAGAGCAGAAGAUUUUUAGGUGGGGCGCCUAGGAAGUAAAGUUUAACCUUCUUAAAUAUUUUGAUUUCAAUGACCUUCCGGUGUGGACCCGGCAAGUCCGAUCAUAGGAGAAGUUACGCCGGGGAUAACAGGCUUAUCCAUUAGUAGAGUUCGUAUUGGCUAAUGGGAUUGGCACCUCGAUGUUGAAUUAAGGAUGAUAGCUUUAAGGCGUAGAAGCUUUAAC
rnacentral:rRNA from 1 species